rnacentral:rRNA from 1 species
GACGAACGCUGGCGGCGUGCUUAACACAUGCAAGUCGAACGUGAUUUUUGUGGAAAUUCUUUCGGGAAUGGACAUGAAAUGAAAGUGGCGAACGGGUGAGUAACACGUGAGCAACCUACCUUACACAGGGGGAUAGCCGUUGGAAACGACGAUUAAUACCGCAUGAGACCACAGAAUCGCAUGAUAUAGGGGUCAAAGAUUUAUCGGUGUAAGAAGGGCUCGCGUCUGAUUAGCUAGUUGGAAGGGUAAAGGCCUACCAAGGCGACGAUCAGUAGCCGGUCUGAGAGGAUGAACGGCCACAGUGGAACUGAGACACGGUCCAAACUCCUACGGGAGGCAGCAGUGGGGAAUAUUGCACAAUGGGGGGAACCCUGAUGCAGCGACGCCGCGUGAGCGAAGAAGGUUUUCGAAUCGUAAAGCUCUGUCCUAUGAGAAGAUAAUGACGGUAUCAUAGGAGGAAGCCCCGGCUAAAUACGUG